UGUCACGUGAUUUGAAGCAAGCUUCGAAUCACUGCUUCUAUGGAAUAGGAAGUCCAGGGUUGAAGCUCCGUUCGAAGCUUCAGUGUCAAACUGCCAUCACUAGUAGUUGCCAACUCGCCCGUUGCCCCAAACAGUUUAAAAAUGGAUCGACUUGUAAGAUAUAAACGAUACCUCGUCGACGACGAAGCGGCCAUUCCACGCACAACGAGGAAAAGAUGGAAAAAAACAGCAUUUCACUGAAGAUGUGGGCAAUGGCGAAGCUGAGGCCUCUACUGCUUCUACAGCACAGCAUUUGACCACAGGUGUGGGCGACAGAGAUGCUGAGGCCGCCGCCUAUACUGCUUCGAACGAUCAAGAUGCUGAGGCCUGUACUGCUUCGAAUGACAGAAUGAACCAACCACCUGUCCCAAGCUCUCCACCUGAGGAGCCAGUAGAGGGACGGCUACAGGACAGUCCGACAUCAGACCAGAUCCCAUCAAAGGAGCAAGUCGAAUUACUGCUUCUGGCAUUCAAACUCAAACAUGGAAUAACACACAGAGCUUUAGAGGACGUUAUGAAACUUAUUAACUUUAGUGGUGGUCCUUCAGUUAGUGGGUCCAAGUACAUGUUCUACAAGUCCUUUGAUACAGUUAAAGACGUAUUGGAAGUACACUAUGUGUGCAAAAUCUGCAACCUGAGCAUGGAGGAAUCUCCUGACACCGUCAAGUGCCCAGUCUGUGACCAGGUCAUCUCAAAAGUAGAUGCACAAAAAGAUCAAUGCUUUUUAUACCUGCCUCAAAAAGUCAAAUACAAAAACUGCUACAGGACCAUCACUUAGGGAAACAUUUAGCACACCGGUUUGAGGAGAAGGACCUCUCCAUCAUCAAAGAUGUGUACGAUGGACAAAUGUAUAAAAAACUAUCACCGCUUGCUUCACCAGACAACAUAUCGCUGGCUUUCAGCUGUGAUGGCGUGCCGGUGCACAAAUCAACUAAAAGCAGCUUGUGGACAAUUCUUUGUACUAUAAAUGAACUGCCAAUACAUCUUCGUGGAAAACAUGUGAUGGUCUGUGGGCUGUGGUUUGGUCCAAACAAACCCAAUAUGAAUAUUUACAUGAAACCAUUUGUUGAUGAAUGCAUUGAUUUAUAUGAAAAUGGUCUUGCAUGGAAAAGUGAUAGUGGGAAAGUGGUCUCAAGUAAAGUACUUGCUAUUUUCUUGGUGGCAGAUUCAGUUGCUCGACCACUUGUUCAGAAUUUUAAGCAAUUUCAUGGAGAGUUUGGAUGCUCUUUUUGCAUGCAGAAAGGGACUACUGUGUUGAAACGCAGGGGGCGUGUAAGGGCAUAUCCCCAUGAAGUUGCAGAGUUGAGGAACCCCUCUCAAACCGAGGAUUUGGUAGAACAGGCUCUCUUGGGAAAGCCCACAAAUGGAGUGAAAGGGCCUAGUAUUUUAUCUUGUCUCCUCUAUUUUGACAUCAUUGAUGGCUGUGUUCCAGAUUAUAUGCACAGUGUGCUUCUAGGUGUAACUAGAAGCCUAACCACACUGUAGUUUAAUUCGGAAAACUUUCAAUCUCCUUGGUACCUCGGACGCUCAAUAGGACAGGUAGAUGAGAUGUUAACUUCAAUUAAACCCCCCUGUAAUGUUUCCCGUGUUCCCCGCUCACUUACAGAGAGAACAUUCUGGAAAGCACAUGAGUGGUCCAUGUGGUUGUUUUAUUACAGUGUACCAACAUUGAAGGGAGUCUUACCUGAGAAAUACCUUAAGCACUGGUUCAACUUGGUUAAGGGGGUCUCUCUUCUGCUUAGUGAGGAUAUAAUAGCACUGCAUUUAUCUGAAUCUGAGAAGUUGCUA